UACGGAGGGGACUAGCGUUGUUCGGAAUUACUGGGCGUAAAGCGCACGUAGGCGGAUUUGUAAGUCAGGGGUGAAAUCCCGGGGCUCAACCUCGGAACUGCCUUUGAUACUGCAAAUCUCGAGUCCGGAAGAGGUGAGUGGAAUUCCUAGUGUAGAGGUGAAAUUCGUAAAUAUUAGGAAGAACACCAGUGGCGAAGGCGGCUCACUGGUCCGGUACUGACGCUGAGGUGCGAAAGCGUGGGGAGCAAACAGG
rnacentral:rRNA from 1 species